AAGACAUUAAGUCCAUAAAUUUACUGAAUGACAUCACUGAAUGCCCAAUGAGAGGCAUCAGAAGACCAGAGCCUUGACAUAUUUCUGGAACAUGGAGAAAGGUGGGACCAUAUUGAUGGACAAUAUAGAAUGGAGAGAGCCACAUCUCAGGACAUGCACAGUGUGCUGCAGAAGAGUUGCUGAGCAUUUGGGUUCAUUCAAUUUUUGGAUAUUAUGAAUUAUAUCGCUAUGAACAUUAAUGUACAGGUUUCUGUGUGGACAUUUGUUUUCAUUCGUUUUGGGUAGCAGUGGAAUUGCCAGGCCAUAGGUGUCUCACUCUGCUACCCAGGCUGCAGUGCAGUGGUGCAAUCUCGGCUUACUACAGCAUUGACCUCCCAGAUUUAAGCAAUCCUCCCACUUCAGCCUCACAAAUAGUUUGGGCUACAGAAAAAUACCCAACAUGUACUUUGAUGAGCCUUUUUGUUUGAAAAAAUUAGAACCUGGAGCACCAAAGAUUUAACUUGUUCAUUCUACCUAAGACUGUAAAAGAUAUUUUGAGUUCACGCAAGCAGCCUGAAAGAGAAGGUAAAGGACAUCAGUGUGGAGAUGGGCAUGAAGGAAAUGGAACUUUGGAGAUAAACAAAAGGAAAUUUUAAAAAUGACAGCCAAAAGAAGGGUUAUCCCCACCAAGAAACACUUAGAGGUGAGAAAGGCCUGGUAAAUUUUUAGGAUAGUGAUAUUUGAUGCUAAAUUUUAAGUUGUUUUCUCUUGUCCUGUAGUCCCACUAUAUUAUACCAAAACUUCAGUAUAAAUCUGAUAUAUUUAAAGCACUUGUUAAGUAGUUUUUGUAGGAAUUAAGGAAUAGGGAUUGUAGAAUAAGUGGUACCAAGGAAAAAGCAUCUGCCUCCCACCCCCAGCCCAUUUAAACAAAUGGAGAGACAUAGGGAGUAGUAUUGUGAUUCAACUGCUAUAUUGUAACAGUAAGGAGUGAAUCCAAAGUCUAGAGGUCUAAGGGAUACAUACUUAUUAAAUACACACAAAUUAGUUGCAUGUGUGAAAAGUGUUCACCCACAAAGCACACUGUUAUUAGUAAAACUUCCUAUGUGUUCAGUGUGAUUCUUUCCAGCUGAUACUGAGUAAUAUCAGAAAGCAUCAAAUAGUUGAAUGCCUGAAGCACUUUUGGCCACUAAAUACAACACUAAUAAGUACAGAAAAAUUGGUAUUAAAGCAAAGUAUUGAUGUAACAAAUAGCAUAUAAUAUAUUUGGAG